rnacentral:misc_RNA from 1 species
GAUGAAGAACGCAGCGAAAUGCGAUACUUGGUGUGAAUUGCAGAAUCCCGUGAACCAUCGAGUCUUUGAACGCAAGUUGCGCCUCAAGCCAUUAGGUUGAGGGCACGUCUGCCUGGGCGUCACAUAUCGUUGCCUGAUGCCAGUUUCCUCGUGAUGGGUGACUGUGCAGGGCGAAUGAUGGCUUCCCGUGAGCAUUGUUGCCUCAUGGUUGGUUGAAAAUUGAGUCCUUGGUAGGGAGCGCCGUGAGAGAUGGUGGUUGAGUGACGAACGAGACCCAAUCAUGUGAGACCCCUACCGAAUUUGGCCUUCAUGACCCACAUGCGUCUUUGGAACGCUCAUGACGAGACCUCAGGUCAGGCGGGGCUACCCGCUGAGUUUAAGCAUAUCAAUAAGCGGAGGA